rnacentral:rRNA from 1 species
UCCAGACUCCUACGGGAGGCAGCAGUGGGGAAUAUUGGACAAUGGGGGGAACCCUGAUCCAGCGACGCCGCGUGAGUGAAGAAGUAUUUCGGUAUGUAAAGCUCUAUCAGCAGGGAAGAAAGAAAUGACGGUACCUGACUAAGAAGCCCCGGCUAACUACGUGCCAGCAGUCGCGGCAAUACGUAGGGGGCAAGCGUUAUCCGGAUUUACUGGGUGUAAAGGGAGCGUAGACGGCGAUGCAAGCCAGAUGUGAAAGCCCGGGGCUCAACCCCGGGACUGCAUUUGGAACUGUGUGGCUGGAGUGUCGGAGAGGCAGGCGGAAUUCCUAGUGUAGCGGUGAAAUGCGUAGAUAUUAGGAGGAACACCAGUGGCGAAGGCGGCCUGCUGGACGAUGACUGACGUUGAGGCUCGAAAGCGUGGGGAGCAAACAGGAUUAGAUACCCCUGUAAC